rnacentral:rRNA from 1 species
AGCGCAGGCGGGAGAACAAGUUGGAAGUGAAAUCCAUGGGCUCGACCCAUGAACUGCUUUCAAAACUGUUUUUCUUGAGUAGUGCAGAGGUAGGCGGAAUUCCCGGUGUAGCGGUGGAAUGCGUAGAUAUCGGGAGGAACACCAGUGGCGAAGGCGGCCUACUGGGCACCAACUGACGCUGAGGCUCGAAAGUGUGGGUAGCAAACA